AAUCAACGCUGGCGGCGUGCCUAACACAUGCAAGUCGAACGAGAAAGCGGGGGCAACUCCGUGAGUAAAGUGGCGCACGGGUGAGUAACACGUGACUAACCUACCUUGGAGUUCGGAAUAACCUCGGGAAACCGGGGCUAAUACCGGAUAAUACCUAUGGGUCAAAGGAGCAAUUCGCUCUGAGAGGGGGUCGCGGCUGAUUAGCUAGUUGGUAGGGUAAUGGCCUACCAAGGCGACGAUCAGUAUCCGGCCUGAGAGGGCGCACGGACACACUGGAACUGAAACACGGUCCAGACUCCUACGGGAGGCAGCAGUGGGGAAUUUUGCACAAUGGGGGAAACCCUGAUGCAGCAACGCCGCGUGGAGGAUGAAGUCCCUUGGGAUGUAAACUCCUUUCGACCGGGACGAUAAUGACGGUACCGGAAGAAGAAGCACCGGCUAACUCUGUG
rnacentral:rRNA from 1 species